CGGACGGGUGAGUAAUGUCUGGGAAACUAGCCUGAUGGAGGGGGGUAACUACUGGAAACGGUAGCUAAUACCGCAUAACGUCGCAAGACCAAAGAGGGGGACCUUCGGGCCUCUUGCCAUCGGAUGUGCCCAGAUGGGAUUAGCUAGUAGGUGGGGUAAAGGCUCACCUAGGCGACGAUCCCUAGCUGGUCUGAGAGGAUGACCAGCCACACUGGAACUGAGACACGGUCCAG
rnacentral:rRNA from 1 species